CCAGCACUAACUGGGAAGUCCUUUCCACUGUCCCCACCCUCUUGUCUUCUCAAAGGUCUCUCUCCACAGUGCAGCUUCUGCUGUUGAAGUUUUGCUCUGAACGCUCCUUCAACACAACCUUUCCGCUCAGAAGGCGGUUCCUCCACCUCUGCUCUACGCCGCACACCUGAAAGCAAAGAGAUGCUGGUGAGCAAGGGCGCUGAGGACACAGGACCGCUUGCAGAAGGGUGUCUCCAGGCCCAGAAGAAAUCAAAUGCAACUGAACCGUUGGUAUUUGAGGACCAUUAAGGAUACGUGCAUGUCUCGUGACAUGCUUGGUGACCGCCUGUACCGUGACCUUGAAAACUCCAUAUUCUCCUGCUGCCUCUACAUCCCUGCAAACAGGCUGUGAGCCAUGUGACCACGAGCACUAGAGUCCUGGGCCUUGCCCCGGUCCGGACAGUACCUACCCGCCCUUGGCUUCAUGCAGAUCCCUCCCCAGGACUUGAGACUGGAGUGAGCAAGCUACCCGCGGGACACUGCACGCCAAAGCCACUUCUGAUGCAUCAGGAAAUUCUGUCUAGUUUUAAAACUCCAUCUGAGACCUAUCGGUGCACCCUCUCCCCUGCCAUCGGUCCGGUCCAAGCCGCGCCACAACCCUAGCAGCCCACCCUCCUCACCCCAUCCCCUUGGUGCCACUAAGACGCCUUUGAAAACUUUGAGCAACAGCUGGGACCGCUCCGGUGCGCACAGCGCUCCGUGGCCACCAACGGCUCAGAGCCAAGGCCCAGCCGCUCGGGCUGCCUUUCCACUCGUGAUCCGUCCCCUCUCGGGCUGUUCCCUGCGGACAAACCCUAGGAUUAGGACUCCACUCAGGCCCUGUCCCUCUGCCUGUGACCCUCCUCUGCGUUUGCCCGUCCCACACCCCAUCACACUGGAGGACAGAAAUGGGGACCCCGACCCAGGGUCGUGAGCAUGGGCUCCCCUUCGGACUUCGGGGUGUGCGGGGAGGGCCCGGGGACCAGUGCUUACCGGAGCCGGGUCCCUCAGCGUGGCCUCCGCCAUCGGACACUGGGCGGAGCGGCGUCCGGAGGAGGACCAGCAAGGGCCCCGCGCACCCCCGGCCCCGAUCCGGAAUCGGGGUCACCCCCGGACGUCGCUGGCAGGCUUCGGACCCGCCUCAGGGAGCACAACGCCCGCCUUCCCUCGCAGCUUUCCGCUCCCGUCGCCCCAGCCCCACAGCAGCCUCCGGCCAGACGGAGCGCCCGGACACCCCGAAACGCCCGCCCCAACGGCCGCGCCACAAGCCCCGCCCAGCGCGUUCCCGGGCUCAGCGCCUUCUGGGUAAUGUAGUCCCCACCGCCCCACCGUGGAGGCAGCGGCCAAGCGGGCGAGAGGGCCGGCUGGAGAAAUCUGGGUCAAGAACUGUCCCAGACUCUCCUCCAGAGACUAUCCUAAGUUGUAGCUAGGCCUGGAUUUCAAUUUCCCUGAGCAUCUGGUACUACAGGCGUUCCUGCUUUGGAGGACUGAGAGCCACAGUAAAACGGUUUCCUUGGACUGAACCCGUGGUCCGGUCCCGAACUGCCCCCCCAAGGGGAUGCCCGGUAUCGCAGACCGCGAUGGUGAGGCAGUGCCGGGUGUGUGAGGAGAAGUGACUCAAUUCUGAACGUGAAAUCUACAGUUCCAUUCCUGACAGCUGUCAAUGGUUUGUUUACUUCGAAAAGAAGAAAGAGACCUCCACUCGCUGAAAGAAGAGCAGUAUAGCAGAGAACACAGACUGCAUGUCCCGGUGGACCUCAGGGUGGGUGGGCAGGACUUCGGGGUGGAAUCGAACCUAAAUCUAUUUACCUGGUGCAGAGCAGAGCCAGUCACUGGGCAGCAGAUAUGCAGGAGGAAAAUGGGAACUACGCUCCUGAAGUUUCAUCUUUAUAACUCUGCCCACUUCCUUGUCUUCCUCAGAACACUAUCCAUGUUUCUACCUGAAUCUCUGUCUCCUGAAUUGCAAUUGUAAUUGCCAAAGAAGAGUCUA